GACGUAGGGGGCAAGCGUUGUCCGGAGUUACUGGGCGUAAAGAGCUCGUAGGCGGUCCGUUAAGUCGGGUGUGAAAGCCCUCGGCUCAACCGAGGAAUUGCACUCGAUACUGGCGGGCUAGAGUCUGGUAGAGGGAAGUGGAAUUCCCGGUGUAGCGGUGAAAUGCGCAGAUAUCGGGAAGAACACCGGUGGCGAAGGCGGCUUCCUGGGCCAUGACUGACGCUGAGGAGCGAAAGCUAGGGGAGCGAACAGG
rnacentral:rRNA from 1 species